rnacentral:piRNA from 1 species
UGGGAAAGAGUAACUUGUGCCAUACUGCCU